rnacentral:lncRNA from 1 species
AGUGUGUUGGCUUGCUGGCCAGGAGGAAAUGGAUGAGAAGGGACUAAGGACAAAGUGACCAGUGAAUAGGUGAUAAGAAUGGCUAUGACUUGGACCAGGAAGACGGAGACAGGCUGAGCAGGCCCUGCUUCGGAGGCUUCUCUUCCUGUCCCAUUUCCAAGGGCGCUAUCUUUGGCCUUCACUCUUUUCUCAACACAUCCCUUUUUGGGCGGUCCUGCCUGUUCCCACAGUGUUGACGUCCUGUCUAUAUGGAGGACUCUCAUACUUCGGUUCCAGCCCUACCUCUCUCUUGACCCCAAGGUCUAAACAUUCGGUGCCUGCCGCCUACUUCUUUGCGGAUAUUUCUCAGACCCUUCCCAACACACAGAUUCUGAUGGAACUGACCCCCUCCUGCUUGAGGAAGUGGCAGAAACGGUGAGCCAGCCAGCCGAGUCUGAAAUACCACCAUCAUCCUAACUCCUUCCUCGUGGCUCAAUGCCUUGUAUACAGACCCUCACCCGUGAGUCCUCUCCCAUGGAUGUAACCACCUCAAUGUACCACCACCUUGGGCUCAGGCUCCUACUGCACCUAACUUGGACUAUUUGGAAAUAUCCUCACUCUUCUCAAUGCUUCCAGAAUGUUCCCCCAGCCUUCCUGGAUACUGCUGCCUGCCAAGGAGACUUCAGAAAUGAAAACUGAUCUUUUCUUUCUCUAAGUCAUUUUUUCUAGGGUCCUGAUUUUGCUGCACUCAGUGGGAUUUCAUGCCUCCUUGGGUUCAGAGCCCACCUCUCCUCCUGUGCAAAUGCCCCUGCCCACUCUGAGCCCUUUCCCUAUGACAUCCUUCCCAUUUGCUUAAAAAAUAUUUUCAUUCUGACAAAACAGACACAGCAUAAGAUU